UACGUAGGUGGCGAGCGUUGUCCGGAUUUACUGGGCGUAAAGGAUGCGUAGGCGGAUAUUUAAGUGAGAUGUGAAAUACCCGAGCUUAACUUGGGUGCUGCAUUUCAAACUGGAUAUCUAGAGUGUGGGAGAGGAGAAUGGAAUUCCUAGUGUAGCGGUGAAAUGCGUAGAGAUUAGGAAGAACACCAGUGGCGAAGGCGAUUCUCUGGACCAUAACUGACGCUGAGGCAUGAAAGCGUGGGUAGCAAACAGGAUUAGAUACCCUGGUAGUCCACGCCGUAAACGAUGAGUACUAGGUGUAGGAGGUAUCGACUCCUUCUGUGCCGCAGUUAACACAAUAAGUACUCCGCCUGGGAAGUACGAUCGCAAGAUUAAA
rnacentral:rRNA from 1 species